CUCGUUACACGCUCCAAAAUUUAGUCCUUUCCGAACACACACUUUCAAGCAAGAUGGAUUUGCCGGUAUCUGCAAUUGGAUUUGAAGGUUAUGAAAAGCGACUUGAGAUUUUCUUUUUCGAGUUAGGAAACUCUUAUGGCCCUGGAUGUGGCCUACGGUCGCUCUCCAAAGAUCAGUUGGAUGAAAUUCUGACACCUGCUGCAUGCACCAUAGUGUCUUCAUUGGCUAAUGAUGAAGUUGACUCUUAUGUCCUUUCAGAGUCUAGCCUCUUUGUCUACUCUUACAAGAUCAUAAUCAAAACUUGUGGCACCACAAAACUGCUGCUCUCGAUCCCGCCCAUUCUUAAGUCGGCUGACUCACUUGACCUGAAAGUGAAGUCUGUGAGGUACACUCGUGGUAGUUUCAUCUUUCCUGGGGCUCAACCAUACCCACAUCGUCACUUCUCCGAAGAAGUGGCCGUGCUUGACAGCUAUUUUGGUAAGCUUGGUGCAGGCAGCAGUGCAUAUGUGAUGGGUAGUGCUGAUAAACAACAGAACUGGCAUGUCUAUUCUGCUUCAGCUGAAUCUGCCGAUGCCAAUAAUGUGAAUCCAGUUUAUACACUGGAGAUGUGCAUGACUAACUUGGACAAGAAAAAGGCAUCCGUAUUUUUCAAGACUCAAUCUAGCACUGCUGCUGAGAUGACUGAACUUUCAGGCAUUCGGAAGAUUCUUCCAGAAUCAAACAUAUGCGAUUUUGAUUUUGAACCUUGUGGUUACUCAAUGAAUGCUGUUGAAGGCUCGGCAAUCUCCACGAUUCACAUAACACCCGAGGAUGGAUUCAGCUAUGCAAGUUUUGAAGCAGUGGGUUAUGAUUUCAGAGAGGUCAACUUAACUGCAAUGAUUGAGAGGGUGUUGUCCUGCUUCGGACCUGCUGAGUUUUCCGUGGCAUUACACUCUGACACUCCUGGGAAGGAACUUUAUACUGACUCGAGCCUGAACAUCAUCGGAUAUGUCUCUGGCGAAAAGACUACUGAAGUGCUUGGUGAGGGAGGAUCACUUACGUACCUCACAUUCAGCAGUGGUGGUAGCUGCGGCGGAUCCCCCAGAUCAAUCCUUAAUAACAGCUGUUGGAGUGAGAACGAGGAUGAGGAAAUGGAGAAGAUAUAUUAAUGAGAAAUAUGUCUAUUCUCUUUUUUAGUACGCAAUACUAUAGCUCUGGUAUAGAUAUCCAAGCAUGCAAAUAAUGUUUCUUUGUGGGUUCAUUACGUCUAGUACUAGUAUCAGUUUCUCGUAUUUUAAUUUAGUUCUGUGAUAUGUGUGGGAAUGAAAUAACUGUCUGCUGAGUCUAUGAAGCUUCUUAGCUUUAUAGCGUUUGUGGUAUUAUUAUUGAGUUGUCUGGUGUUGUGUAAUAAAACCUUUUGGGAGACUAUUAUAUGAAAUAUUGUUAUUGUCAAUAUAUUUGCACUCAUAUGUUCUGAUGUGUUUACUCUUUGAACAUUCACUUUCUUGAAAAAUCUUCAUUAGAAGGUACGCUCUUGAUACCAGUGUAACUAGUAAAACUCGUCGAUUGUAUUACUACUACUACUACCAUCUUAUUCUUUGGUUAUAUUGCUACAUGUUUUUCCGUUACUUCGAUUAUUGUAUUAGUUAUUGUUUAACUAUUUUCUUUUUCUUUUGGCAUAUCUUUUUCACUCCUAAUUAUUUUUUCUUGAAUUUGAUAUGCACCAUUUGUAUCAGUUGAGUAAUAACCACUUGGAAGGUUUUUUAUAUGACAAGCUUUUCUACUUAAAUUUUAUACUAGUCUAGUUUCUGGUCAUUGUUGUUUGUUCUAAUCGAUUACUAAUAACCAAUGAAGGUCUUCUAUUCGAUAAACUCUUCCUACUUAAAAUUUAUUCUAGUCUAGUAUAAUGAUGAGGCAUACCACGAUAUAGUAGUUGCAGUCUCUUUUCAAAAUUAUUGGUGUACCUCUGCAUUAAUAGUUGCAUAUGCCCUAGGGAGAAAAAAUGAGUUGAAAGAUCCUUCCAAAGGAGAAGUAGGUCUCACAAUAUUAUUAAGUUAAAAAAAAGAUGAAGUCGUUUAAACAACUGUGACAGUUGUUCGACAACUGAACUUUGAUCAAAUUGUUGAUAGAACUUCUAUAGUUGUUGGGACCAACCUUUUUAGUUGUUGGAGCGAAAAUGUUUAAAAAAAAAUGGAAAUUUUUUAUUAAAACUUGAAGGACCUCACUUAAUUGAGAAACUUAUUUGUCCCUCCGCAUUAUGAGCAAACGCUAAUUUGCUAUGUCUGAAAAAUUCUUGGAUUUUUUUUUUCCAGUUAAUUCAGCAAGAGGAUUUACACUUUAAAAUAAAUUAAGAAAUUCAAAGAAAAAGAUGUGCUAAUCUUCACUUGUCUAUUCUUCAUCUUCAUAUCCAAAAACUGAACUACCUCACCUCACACUGACCCAUCAUAGAGGAACUCAAUGUCCAACCAUAUUAUUGAAAAUUAUACUAGAACCUGAUGGGCUUUUAAGAUCAAAUCCACUAGGAAGUAGUGUCAUAAAGAUAAAUAGACCACAGAAUGAUAUAACCACGAGCUGAGUUGUAUGCAAAAUUCCAAUUUUUAGAAACAUGAAGCAUAAGCUUCAGUAGACAAAAUAAAUUAGUAUGUACUCACUCAACUACAACCAAAAUUGGAAACUACAUACAAGAACAAUGUUCAUUAUACUCGUCUCCCGCGUACUAUAAUAUGCCCUGUGCUGUGAGCUAAGCUGAUUCUCUUUAAGGAAGCAGAACUUGAGCUGAACAAAUCUAGACACCGGUUCUCUGAAAAUUUUGUGUAGCUACAACUCUGUUAUGGAGAUUUCUUUGUUUAGUAAGGUCGAAAUUUCCUUGCCGCCCUCAACUGCUGUAUCCGCUUCUUAUCCUGCUCAAAUUUGCUCUGCAACACCAUGAUCUCUGUGCACAAAUAAAAAAAAACAACAAUGAUAAGUUACGACCAGAAGACCGAGCAAUAACCAUAUUGAAAUGAGGAAUUCAUUGGCACUCACACCAAUGAGAAGUCAAGUAGAGUAACAUAGCAGCAUCAAGUCAUGGCGAGUAGGUGACUGAAUGGGUCGAGAAAAUUUAACUUAACUAGUCCAACGUAACAUAGUCAGAUCGGGUUUACAUUGAACUCAAAUUCUUUACAUGCCGUUAUGUUCAUAAAAGCAAAGUUGAAAAGGGAAUCUCUACUGACCCUUUGAUGGGACUAAGGAAACAAACUACAAGUAGAAUAACAGAAGAGGAAACAUUGGAUUUAAAACCAGCAAACACAGGUAACUUAAGUAGUCUAACUUUUAUACGAAUGAAAGAUGAGCUACAGUUCCACGAUAAAGGAAGAAGGACUAGAAGUUACGAGACGGAGGAGAAGUUCACAACCAUGACCAGACACUGCAUAUACACGUAACAAAGAGAGUGCUUGGACAACUCCACCUUGAAAAGAGAAGAUUUCGAGAACAAAGAUGUGUGGAGGUAACUCUUCUUCUCCCUCCUUGAAAUUAUUUUUCCAUAAAAAGGGGUGAAUUCUUACAAACUUAAACAAUUGAAGCUUCCUUUUUGAAGUUGUUUUCAAGAGAUCAAAUUUACAGUUGUUUCAACUUUCAAGGAUUAUCUGAGGCUCAUUUUGGUUAUCUACCAUGAAUGAUAGAAAAACUUGCUAAACUAAUUGUAUAACAAGCUACCAAAACACGGCUGCCUUUUCAAGCAUCCUAAUAUUGACUAAAUUAGCUAAUGACAAUUCCGUUCAAGCUUAGAAACCCCUUCAUCAGAUGUAAAUACCUUUUCAUUAUUUGAUUGAUCAGAUAAAUUUAAACUUUUGAGAUUUUGAAUUUACCUUUUAGAAAAUUUUGAACCGAGGAAAACAAAGUCCGUGGAUACAUAUGGAGGCAGAAAGUAUUGAAAAAGGCAAAGAUACAAUAAACUGACCAUUUCUCUUUGCUUCUCUUUUCUGAAACCGGUAGAAAUCUAACCCCACAUCUUUAUUCUUCUUUUUGGCCAUAUUGUCCAUAACUGCAGCCUGAGAAACAGAACCGACUGCAAUUCCAGUUUCAGAAUCUGUAGUCUUUUUCCUGCCUUUGUGAUGUACAACAACAGUCCAUCCAUCUUCUGCAGCAAGAGCUUCCUUUUCUUUCUUUUCCUGUAGGUACCAAAAUAGAAUAAUAUGAAACGGUAAUAACUGUACAUUCUUAACAUGUAUACGGUAUGCAACCACUACGAUGCAAGAACAUGACACAUCACUCUUUUCUUAUGUUAAAAAUAAUAAUUAAACAAAACAAUAGCGAAUCUAAGCUGUGUAUUCUCUUUAUCGGGUAAGUUUACAUGAUUCUUAAUCUUUGCGAUGUUGAAAAUCAAUAACUAUUUCAUCAGAUUUACGUCUAUUCUUUCUUUAUAUUUCUGAUUGCAAAAUUCAACAAAAAGAUUAAAAAAAAAUUUCAAUUGUGAUUCCCUCAGCUCAAUCAUACUAAUGAAAAAUAUUCAACUGCUCAAACUUUCUACUCUAAGAUAAAUUUUAAAAUUUAAAAAUUACAAUCCACAUAUUCUACUGUUGGACUCGUGCUGACACAGGCCUUGCACUUCUAAUUUAGUAAUAAAUAUAAAUCCCACAAGAGAUCAAAAAAAAAAAAAUAAAAAAAAAAAUGAAGUUGCUUGGAAACUGGUGGAAGAGUCCAAAUGAAACAAGUCUCCAUACAGCUGUAUCUACCGAUUCUUGCGUUGUCACCAUUCUUUAUUACUUACCACACGAAAUAUCCCAUGGUCUAAAAACAAUAAUAAAAGGAGAGUCACAAAUUAUAGAAAAUACACGUGUCAAAUUUUGGUUAUACACGUUUCCUUAGCCUUACAAUAAUUCUCGCCCCUAUAUAAAUAGGCUCAAUACCUCUGCAUGUAGUUAUGUGCUUCGCUAUCGAUAUAUUAACAUAUCAAUAAUAAUUCUCUCUUCCCAGAUAAUCUUUUGUUCUAAAUCAAUUUUAUUUUGGAUCUACCCUUUUUCAAUUUGCAUCGUCGAUUUACUUAACCAGUAAGUUUUUUUUUUCUUUCUUUAUGAUAUGAUAAUUGAAUUUUGUGCGUAUUUGAUAUGAUUUGAUUUUUUAAUUUUGUGUUUUAUAGGGUUGUGUUAAAGAAGCUUUUAUAAUUCAAUCAAAGGAGGUCUCUCUGCAUCGGCUUAUAUCACUAAUUUUUGUAAGUAAAGUAAAGAUUCUGUUGCUUUAUGUUAUUUUCGUGUAUCGUUUUGCUCUGUUGUUGCUGAAUUUGAUAAUGCUUGGUGUUUUUUUGAUUGAAAUUUUAAUUUUCUCCUUUUUUUUGCCCUUAUUUUGGUGGAAUAGUCCCUUGUUUUACAAUAAUUUUCUUGUAAUUGCGUAUAGAAUUGAUUUCUUGUUACUAACUUAGGUUUUCUUAUUUUUUCGAUGUGCUAUUUUGGUGUUUUCUUUUGAUGUUAUUAAAGCCCUUUUCUUUCGUUUUUUAAAAGCAAAAUAGUUAUGAAUGUUUAGAUUUGUCUUUGCAAAAUUAGUGGUUGGUUCGUCUUUUGAUGGAAAGUUAUCAAAUCUUUUGUGGGUGGGUGGAACAUACAUAAACUGCUUUAUUUGCUUUACAUAGUUGAUUUUUGAUACUCCUCUCCAUUUCGCUAAGAACGACCUAAUUUUAUUGAUUUGGCACGGAGAUUAAGAAAUUAAAGAAAUUUUUGAACGUUAAGAACGACCUAAUUUUAUUGAUUUGGCACGGAGAUUAAGAAAUUAAAGAAAUUUUUGAACUUGUCGUCCUAAAUUAAAAUUAUGUCAAAUUUUCAUUAAAGUAUUCCUAAAAAGGAAAGGGGUCCAUUUCUUAUGGAAAUGGAUUAAAAAGGAAAGUAGAUCAUUCUUUUUUUAAAACGGAGCGAGUAUGUUUUAUUUGAACCGAGUCUUUUGUAGCCACCCCUAAAGGCACAACUUGUUUGAUAAUACUGGGCAUAUUGUUGAAAUUAUCGAACCUUUAGUAGAUGCUACUGUUUAAAUUUUUUUCUUUUUGGAAAAAAUAAAGACAUAUUUUUGUUAGUUAUAGAUAUAGAUUUAUUAUACAGUAUUUCUUUUCUUUAUGUUUUUUCUUAUGGGUAUUGUUGUUAUGAUUUACCAUCUGAAAUGCUAUUACCAUCUUUGGAUGGGAUUAUUGUAAUAAGCUUCAAAGAGGCUAUCCUUCUACCAUGGGUUGAUAGAAUUAGACCAGAUGUUAGGCAGCUGUUGUCUUCUUAGUAUAGAAAUAGCCAACUUACACACCAUAACAACAAUUAGUUGUUUGUAAGCCACAUAAAUCAGUUUCCUCUGUUUGAGGAGGAGUUAUUUGUAUUCAAUCGUAGUUCUUGAUCUAUUUUCUUGUUGUCUCCAUAAAUCUAUCAAAGGCCAAACUUUUCUUUUUUUUUUUCUAAUCUAUCAAAGGCCAAACUUUUCAUAUUUUAUUUCUGACCAUCUUCUUUCUUUUAAUGCCCUAAGCAGGUAGGAAUCGAUGAACUAAUGGAGUCUAAAGGUGGGAAGAAGAAGUCUAGUAGUAGUUCCUUAUGUUACGAAGCUCCCCUAGGUUACACUAUUGAAGACGUUCGACCAAACGGAGGAAUCAAGAAAUUCAGAUCAGCUGCUUACUCCAACGUGAGUUCAUUUAUCCUUUACCUUAUGUAUCUUAUUAGUUUGCAUCUUCGUGCAUACAUGCUGACUGCUUGCGUUUCUCUAUCUUUUUCAUAUGCAGUGCACUCGCAAGCCAUCCUGAGAUUUCCCGUGAUCUAGAAUAAACCACCAGAGGUGGUUCUAAGUAGUUUUAGAAUUCUGUUUUUCUCAGCUUUUUUUCUUCAUCCCUCAUCCUCGUUACACGCUCCAAAAUUUAGUCCUUUCCGAACACACACUUUCAAGCAAGAUGGAUUUGCCGGUAUCUGCAAUUGGAUUUGAAGGUUAUGAAAAGCGACUUGAGAUUUUCUUUUUCGAGUUAGGAAACUCUUAUGGCCCUGGAUGUGGCCUACGGUCGCUCUCCAAAGAUCAGUUGGAUGAAAUUCUGACACCUGCUGCAUGCACCAUAGUGUCUUCAUUGGCUAAUGAUGAAGUUGACUCUUAUGUCCUUUCAGAGUCUAGCCUCUUUGUCUACUCUUACAAGAUCAUAAUCAAAACUUGUGGCACCACAAAACUGCUGCUCUCGAUCCCGCCCAUUCUUAAGUCGGCUGACUCACUUGACCUGAAAGUGAAGUCUGUGAGGUACACUCGUGGUAGUUUCAUCUUUCCUGGGGCUCAACCAUACCCACAUCGUCACUUCUCCGAAGAAGUGGCCGUGCUUGACAGCUAUUUUGGUAAGCUUGGUGCAGGCAGCAGUGCAUAUGUGAUGGGUAGUGCUGAUAAACAACAGAACUGGCAUGUCUAUUCUGCUUCAGCUGAAUCUGCCGAUGCCAAUAAUGUGAAUCCAGUUUAUACACUGGAGAUGUGCAUGACUAACUUGGACAAGAAAAAGGCAUCCGUAUUUUUCAAGACUCAAUCUAGCACUGCUGCUGAGAUGACUGAACUUUCAGGCAUUCGGAAGAUUCUUCCAGAAUCAAACAUAUGCGAUUUUGAUUUUGAACCUUGUGGUUACUCAAUGAAUGCUGUUGAAGGCUCGGCAAUCUCCACGAUUCACAUAACACCCGAGGAUGGAUUCAGCUAUGCAAGUUUUGAAGCAGUGGGUUAUGAUUUCAGAGAGGUCAACUUAACUGCAAUGAUUGAGAGGGUGUUGUCCUGCUUCGGAC
rnacentral:lncRNA from 1 species